GGCUAUGUGGCGCAAUGGAUAGCGCAUUGGACUUCUAGAUAAAUAAAGGUAUUCAAAGGUUGUGGGUUCGAGUCCCACCAGAGUCG
rnacentral:tRNA from 1 species